rnacentral:lncRNA from 1 species
GCAAAUUGGAUGAUUUUAGAGAUGUAAAGUUGUUUUAGUCAGCUAUAUAUAUAUAUAUAUAUAUAUGUAUAUGGAAUUAUGUUACUAUACUAUCGAUAGUACCAAAUGUUUGGUACUAUUAAGUUUUCGGCCGUUGGAUGAAAGGAUGUGCAAUUAGGAUAAUAGUGGUCUCCGGGUAGGAUGAUAGUGAUCUCCUGGUUGGAUGAUAAUGGUUCCCUAGGGUUGAGUGGAUGGUUGAUUGAAUAGUAUAAUCUAAUGGAUGGAAAUGAUCAAAAGGUAGAUCUAACGGUAGAAACCUCGAUAAUAUUAAGAGCUUGGUACUGUUGCUAGUAAAGUAGUUAGACUCAUAUAGAAUUGAGCUCGUACCAUUGAAUUAAAGAAUGUGCGGUUAGGCUGAAGUGGGACCCUUAGGGUUGAGUGAGUGGUUGGUUGAAUAAUAUGAUCUAAUGAGUGAAAAUGAUAAAAGGAAUAGAUCUAAUGGUAAUAAAUUUACAAAUACCAAGUGUUUGAUGUUUUUAUAAGUACCAUAGCCGGACUCUCUCUCUUUCUCUCUCUCUCUCUCUUUCUCUCUCUCUCUCUCUCUCUCUCUCUAUAUAUAUAUAUAUAUAUAUAUAUGAGUCUAUGGGGGAGUAAUUUGUUUUUUACAUGAACUUUUAAAAGUUUUGAUAUCACUUACCUUAAUCUUACAGAAGAAUUUCAUAUAUCAAACAUAUUUCUAGCCCUUCCUGAUCGAGUAUUUUGAGACCUUAUAGAAUAUUCUUCUAUCUGAUGAAUUGUUACAUAAUUUUGUUUGGCUGAAAAAUAUGUGUCGACUUCUGACAAACCUUGCCUGCAUACUCUGGAAUCAAAAGUUGCCAAAAUUUCCAAGUUCAGGUUUCCGUCGCAAGAUCCACUACAUUUCAUGUGAAAUCUAAAUGAUGGAUCUUAAAUGAUUCAUAGACUAUUCACCUAUAGUAAGAAGUUGUCAUGAAGACUCAAAAUGAGAGCACUAAGGCCACAGUAAACAAGUUAUCUGCAAUCUUUCCUCAGCUUGCUCACAGUAUUUGCUGUCGAAGCAGCGAACUUCCGUCCUCGGCUUUUGGGUGCUCCUGAUUUGCUGCUGCUUCGACUGCCGCUGAGCUGAAAAUCGAUUGAGCAGCCGCCGUUCCUCCGAAUUUGCGAAUUGCAAACAACUGCUUUCGUCGUCGAGAAGCGCUCUAAAGAGCAAGAGGAGAGAGGCCAUUUUCAUGCAAAGGUCCAUAUUUUCCUUUCACUGUGUUCGUAUGUUUUUAUAUCUGUCAAUCUCAAGUUAUUACUUGUACCUUAAUUUCUGGUAGAUCAUAUAAAACUGCUGUUGGGUCGCAUGUAAAGAUCGUGUGACCUGCUCGUUCAAAUAUUAAUUGCUCGGCUUCGUAACAAAAUAGAAACUAACCUCUUUUAAUCGGUCAAUGGUUGUUGAUCCACCUGUAUACUCGUCCGUUUAGGUGGAGUAUUAAAUUAAGUUAAUCUUAGUUAUGUUUGUGUAUUGUAAACUUUGGAAAGAAUAAGUACCUCAACUGUUCCUGGUACUCAAAAGUCUAAAAGACCGUUAUGCCCUUCUCUCAUCAUUCCUUUUCGCUUUUAUACCUGAAAUCCCAUUAUUAUCACGAAGAGAUGCUAAUCUUACAAUUAAGUCGUCCAGAUUUUUUCAAAUUUAAAUUCCCUUCCUCACCAGAUAAGCAAUUUUUUUUUAGAACAUGUUUAAACUAAAUUGCAAAAGAUCCAUACGUAUAUUUUAUAAGGCCCAUUAUGGAUCUGAAGCCCAGCCCAAUUCAAGGCCCAUUAGACCCCUCUCCCCCCGCGAGGCUACCACCAUCAUCAAGGCUCUAUGCGGACGCGGCGCCACCGCGCUCGCCCGCAAGGUGUUCGACGAAAUGCCCCACCGGGACGUGGUCGCCUGGACGGCCAUGAUCUCGGGCUACGCAUCCAACGGCCUGCACGACGAGGCGUGGGCGACGCUCCGCCGCAUGGCGGGCUCGGGCGCGGCGCCGAACGCGUUCACGCUCUCCGCACUGCUCGCGGCGUGCCGGGGCCCGGGGCGGCGCCGCGCCCGCGCUGCGGCGCACGCCUCCGCCGUGCGGCGCGGCCUCGGCGCCGCGCCGUACGUCGCCAACGCGCUCCUCGACGCGUACGCGUCCUGCGGCGACGGGGCCGUGGGCGACGCCCGGCGCUUGUUCGACGAAAUGGCCGAGAGAACGGCGGUGACGUGGACGGUUAUGAUUGCGGGGUAUGCCAGGUGGGGUAGGGCUGACGUGGCACUCGAGAUGUUCAGGAGAAUGGUCCUUGUGAGUAUAUUAUACGCGACAUGCAUUUACCAUACUAGAAAUAUGUUGGCCGGACCCGGUCUAUAGACCGGAAGAUAUGACUACGUUCUUCUUAGUGGGAGUGGCAAAUUGUGACCCGACCCGGUUCCCCAAUCAUGCCCGACUCGAAAAAUAUCCGGAUCUAGACCCGUAAUCCGCUUCGAAAAAUCAGGUGUUCUGAGUUCUAUAAUUCUUAUAGACUUAUAUAUAUACACCCCGAGUCGUUGAAUCCAACUCCUAAUAAUUGUUUAAAUAGACGUAUAUAUCUACGUUUGAAGCAAAUCUUACUACAAAUGUGUCAUCAAUUUUACAUUUUUAACAUGCAUAUGACAAUUCAAUCUUUUACAAAGCAGGACAGCGUCGAGCCGAGCCCGUUUGCUUAUUCCAUCGCAAUCAGCACGUGCGGCUCGAUCCGACACCCGACACUCGGUCGGCAGCUUCAUGCAGCCUCUGUUAAACAUGAUCUUAUUUCCAACACCCCCCUCUCCAACUCGUUGAUCGACAUGUACUGCAAAUGCACGAAAAUUCGCCAUGCAAAGUUGUUGUUCAACACCAUGCGUCGAAAAGACGUGAUCACUUGGAACACAAUGAUAGCCGGGCUCGACCGUCACUCUCCGCACGAAGCCCUUCAGCUGUUUCUCGAAAUGCGCGUGCAAAACAUGCGGCCGAAUUGCUUCACUUUCACUAGCGUCGCGUCUUCCUGCGCUAGUCUCGCAGUUUUACGAUGCGGGCGGCAAGUUCACUGCGCUGUGCUUCGGAGCGGGUUCGGAAAUAACCUGCAGGUAUGCAAUGCGCUUAUCGAUAUGUACGCCAAAUGUGGGAGCGUGGACGAGUCGAAAAAGGUGUUUGAUGAGAUGUCCCGUAGAGACCUACUAUCGUGGACAUCGAUGAUGAUCGGUUACGGGAACAACGGGUACGGCUACGAGGCAAUUCGACUGUUUGACGAGAUGGUAAAUGUGGGUAUCCAAUUGGACCAUGUUGUAUUUCUGGGUCUAAUCAGUGCUUGUAGCCAUUCUGGGUUAGUCGAAGAAGGAUGGGAGUACUUUAAUUUGAUGAAAACCGAGUAUCAUGUCGAGCCUAAUUUGGAGGUCUAUGGUUGUGCUGUAGAUCUGUUAGGACGUGCAGGGAGGAUCGAAGAAGCCUUUGAUUUAAUACAGAGAAUGCCGUUUGAACCCGGCGAAUCGAUUUGGGGGGCGCUUCUCGGAGCUUGUAAGAUGCAUAAGAAUGUAAUCUUGGGUAAAUUGGCGGCGAAAAAGAUAAUGGAGUUGAAGCCAAGAGGGGCGACGACUUAUGUUCUACUUUCGAAUAUUUAUGCUGCGGAGAGAGAAUGGGGUGAGUUUGCGAAGGCGCGGAAGGCGUUGAGAGGGACGAGUGAUAAAAAAGAGGCAGGGAUGAGUCGGAUUGAGGUUAGCGAUAAGUUGUGCAGCUUUGUAGCUGGUGAUAAUACUAGUUACUAUGUUGGUUUGUGCAGUGAUGUGUUGGAUAGUUUGGCUCGGCAUAUGGAUGAGAACUCGCAAUUGGAAUUUAUAAGCUGAUGGUGUUGCAUAGUGUUAAUUUAGAUAUAUAGCUCGGGAGCGCGGUGAAACUGUAUAUUGAUCUUAUUUUUCUGGACUUUGUAAAGGGCGACUUGCGUGAAUGCACAGUAUCAUCCAUCUUAGAUUGAUUUUGCGAAUAAAAUACGGGGUAGAGUUUAAGAAGAAGAUUCGGAAAUUGGUGUCUCAAGAAGAGGGUCUAUCAGUUUGCUCUUUGAGCUGGUACAUAGUGAAAAAGUUUUGGAACAACUCGGAGAAUAAGAAGUUCAACUAUCUGAUCCAAGUUGCUUUUAGCGAAAUCGCUCACCAGGUAUAGCUAAAUUAGUCAUUUUGCUUUUGCCAUUCUUUCCUUGCCGUUGAGACGUAACGUAACAAGGAUGUUUAUGGCUAUUAAUUUCAUGUUAAGAAUGUUAACUGGUUUUUUUUUUUUUUUUUUUCNUUUUUCGCCAUCUGGUAAUUUACGAAGAUAUACACUUAUCACAGAACAAAUACAUCAGCCUUGUUAUUGGCUUUACCACUUAGGAUGUACAUGCUAGAGAAGCAGACGAUGACGGCGCAAAUUGUCUUUUUACAAUUCAACUGUCCAACCUACACUUAUCUCAUGAGGAACAGAACUACAGAAGAGCCAAAAAGUCCAAGAUAUUUCUGAGGGGAGGGAAAACCACAGCCUCAGCUUUGUCUGAUGCCUUAUACUUGUGUUUGAUUCUUUCUCACUCCUCUCUAUCCUCUCCUUCUCAUUGAUUAAAACAAACAUGCUAAGCAAUUUAGCAUCGGCGUCUCCUCCCUCUCUCUUCUCAAAUUUCCUCCAUCGUCGGAAGCCCUGCUUUUCGCACUCUAAACCAUUGUGCAGCAGCCUCAGUAAGGAAAGAAGAAAAGGCACUAAAUUCAAAUGGCUCUCUAUCUCCUUUUCGCUUUUCGGGUCGGGGUUCUUCCUGGGCCCUCUUCUCGAUGGCCUGCAUUCGAGGGUCAAUCUCCAAGUGUACCGAAAUUGGGCCGUCGAUAUCGGCCCUCUUCGCACCAACAUCCUCGUACUGUUUCUUUCAAAUUUUCCCUCCAUAUAUAUUUUUUUCUUUAAUUGAAGUACAAUCUCUAUGGUUAUUAUUAGGUCCCUCUCCUCCUUGGGGCGUUUUACUGCACUAUCGGAUUGCUGCAGCUCUACUUGGAUGAAAAGGCCACUUCUAGUAAUGCAAAGCCUUCAGGGAGCUUGAACAAGGCGGCGAUAUCACUAAUGUGCGUAAUCUCAGUGGCACAAAAUCUUUCGGUAAAUACGUAUCGAGACGCCCUGAACUGUAGGCCAUUCUGAAAUAGACCGCUCAACUUUAUUUUCAAACAUUUGCUCGUUUCUGUUAAACGUAAUUGCGAUUCUGAUGAAUUGAAGAGCUUUACCGGCUUUAAAUCGAUCCAUUUUUCUCUCUAUUCUUUGCCGUCAGAGCCCUUGCAUUAUUCGUCGAACUGAGCGCUGAACUGUACAAAGCUGGAGUUCCGAGCAACGUUGAAGCCUACAUACUAUUUGCAGCAGCAGAAUUUUUGUGGCUAUUGCUGGAUGGAACAUGGCUAGGGUUUGCGCUCGCGUGCUUUGUCGGCAUUGCAUGCCCUAUUGCUGAGAUCCCAUUAAUGAAGUAAUUUGCCUAACAUUUUUUAAACUUCUGAUUAUUAGCUCAACAUUCUCUUUCAAAUCAUUUUUUGUUUUUCAGUUUUGGCCCACUUUUUUUCCUUUUCCAGUUAAACCUCUUAGGGGCAUUCCAUGCAAAGAUGUUUCAGCUAAAACCGAAAAAUGGCCGAAAAACGUGCCAACAUUUUUUUUAUUGAUUGCUGCUUCUGUAUCAUCAAAUAUUACAGGAUUUUUCACCUCUGGAAUUACCCAAAUGCUGAUAUCCAACUAUUUGGUGAGGUAAAACCCUCAUUUCUUUUCCCCCCCCUCAGUGGUUCUUCAAAUUGCUAAGCAAUGAGAAAUGUAUAAAUGGUAUUGUUUCCUCUUUUCGCAGGGGCUGAUCAGUUGGACAACUACCUGCUAUUUUGUUUACACUCCAUUUUUGAUCAAUUUGUCGCGUUGGCUCAAGUCGUCCUUCGCCGAUGAUAGCGAUCAAAUAGUUCAGUAGGCAUACAGCAGCAGCAGCAGCAGCAGCAGUUCCGAUGAAACAAUGGAUUUCUCAAAAAUGACGGUAUCGGAGAAGUGUCAUUUGAUUUUAUAUUAACACUCUCGUUCACGCCUUGGCUCAGAAUUUCUCAAUAAGCCCAAAUUGUUGACGUUGGGUCAAACUAGUUUUGGGUUUUCUUUUAACUACUAUUUAAACAACAGAACUGUUUACUGUUUGAUACAACAAACUCGAAACUUCUUGCUCUGAUCAUGUCUUGCGAAAGAUUUGAAUGUUCCAAUAACUUAAGCUAGCAGAGAAAGUAGUACCGUACCUGCUAUAGGACACGAAAGUGUACUCCGUAUUUAACUGAUGUACACGGAAACGAAUUAAAUACACAAUGUGAUCAGUUUAGCCUGAGGUGCUAGCUCAUUUAUGUGGCCAUAUAAGGUUACCUGUUUCAUUAUAGAAAUGAAGUAAUGCACAGCUCAAAGACAAUGAAUCUGGUUAUCAGCAAGAGUGACCAAAUAGAUACAUAUCUUCUUCAGUAGUAAUACUUUUUGGUACAAACUUACCGAAUUUAUUUGAACUAAGGACUAUUUUGAAUUGACUACUAAAUCUUUCAAACUUAGUUUUACUGUCUAAUUUUUUAAUUUAUUUGAUUUGAGUCGGCCAAUAAUAUUUUAAUUUUAAAAUCUGAAUGCGUUGUUUAUUUUUAUAGGUUUAGGUAGCAUACUUCAUGCAAUUGCUGCAAUUAUAGAUUAAUUAAGCUAAGUAGUAAUUAGCUUAUAUUUUGAAGUCAAAGUGUCGUUGGCCGGUUCAAAUCAAACAAAUUGAAAAAUUAGAUAAUAAAAUUAGAACUUUUAAAAAUUGGGCAGUCGAUUCAAAACGACCAUUAGUUCAUGUAAGCUAUGUACAUUUUUACAUAUUUUUUUUAGAGAGAAUGAUAGCAUGUUACUGCUUAGUUUAUUUUAAAAAAAAAUAAAUUUAACUAAAAAUAUAAAGUACGGGUACCAACCAACUAUAAAGUUUUUUAUCACUUGCGGUAGAGACGGUCGAUUUCUUUAGCCGUAACACUACUCUGGAUAAAUUACCACCCUAUGCAAUUUUCUCAGAAAUGGUAAAUGUACUAUAAUCCCUCUUGAGUUUAAAUUUGAAAUUUGUGAUAUAUAUAUAUAUAUAAAAACAAGAUGACAUAUUCUCUCACUUAAUGAAUGGCACAUCUUUUUGUCAGAUGGUAGUUGGCUCUUAUUUUAUUCUCUUGCACCAAAAAUGUAUACAAAACUCACCAAAUUCAAAAGCUUCAUUAAUAAGAACAUGCACUUCUCUUCCCUAACAUGGGAGCUACAGCACAAAAUAAAUGAUAGCAGUGCAGUAGCACAUUGUGAUUCUUCACCAUUUUGGGUAGCAAAAUUAUUAGUUACUAACCGACCGUCCCUGGCGUAAGCGACAAAGGACUUGGCAGUUGGUACUCGAGAUCCCAAGUUCGAAUUCUAAUUGAUUCACAUUUCCAGCUAAGUUUAUUUCUAAGUGAAAUAAACGAAACGGAUAACGUGCUAUCUAUUUUUUUUUUAAAAAAAUUUAUUAGUUACUAUUAUUGGCUAAAAAGCCCAAUAAUUGUUAAUCAGUAGUGUCACAUUAUUUCUUAGAGAUGAAUUAUUAGUUAUCUCGUGGCAGAAAAAUAAUAUGAUAAUUAAAAUAGCCACCACUUUACUAAUGUGUUUAAAAAAAUUACAUGGAGGUUAACAAAACAGUGAUUAAAAUAUAAAUCAAAGUUUAGUAUCUCAAUUAAAAUAAAUUAUAGUUUGAUGACCCAAAUUAAAGCCUAAAGGAGAGUUCUCUCCAAAAGUAAUAUGCCUCAUUUAAAAGAGUUCAAUUUGUUGCUCUUCUGAGGAUAUUAGCCACCUAAGAAAAGUGGGCUUUCUAUGUAUUUAGUAUGUUCAAAUUUUUUUUUUCACAAAUAACCUCAUAAAAUUUAUAAUUAUAAAAUUAGUCAUAUUCCUGCCACGUAAACGUCACGCGAGCAUGGCUGGAAGUCCAGAUUAAGUUGAACACGGUGAAUAAUUCACCGUGUUAGGACACAAAAUGAAUAAUUCACUAUGUUCAACUUAAACUUAUAUAACUUAAAUUUAUAUAUUGUAUAAGUUUAAGUUGAACACGGUAAACUAUUCAUGACGUCCAAACAACGGUGAAUGAGUGGUUCACAGUAUUCAACUUAUUCCAUACUCAUAUGACAUUUGCUUGGCGGAGAUAGGAUCAAUCUUGUAAAUAUAAAUUUUGUGAGGUUAUUUAUAUAAAUUUUUUUUUUUUAGUAGGCUAAAAUGCAGAAAAAAAAUCCCCCAAAAAAAAGUUCAUGGAAAUCAAGUUUUGUUCACUUGUGCAUCAAUCUUUGUUAGAAAGCAAAAAUGCAUCAAACUUUUCCAUCAUUCAAACUUAAUUACACCUUUGCACUCUAUCAAGUCCAUCGUAUCAAUUCCAUAGCUUUGUUAUUGUACUUUUAAGUUUUGGUAAAAAAGUAUAAAAUUUAUCCAAAUUAUAGUCCAUUUUUAUUUUAGUACUCAAAUCUUUCAAAAUUUGAUUUUAGAGGUUAGAAUUUUAAUUGGUUUGAUUUAAAUAAUUUGAAGAUUCUUCGGAUAUAAAAUUUAAGCUAAUUAAUUAUUUUAAUAAAUUUAUAGUUACACAGAUUGAAUAAAAUAUACUAAUUAAAUACGUAAAGAUACUAAAGCUUAAAUUAAAUAAACUAAAAGAUUAAAUAGUAAACUCAAAAUUUUUAAAAUUUAGACAGUUAAUUAAAUUUGAAUGAAUAAUAGUCAAGUUUUAUACAUUUUAUCCGAGACCGCACGCAUGCAUUUGAGUUCGUGCACCUAACUUAUGCCUCUCGGGUCCGACUAUUCAGAAUGCACUAACCAUAUGAGCACAUAUAUCGCGUCUAAAACCUGCUUCGUUCGGGUCCAGUUAUUUUGAGUGCACCAAAGAGUGUAGGAUCAUCAAAUCAUCAUCGGCUCUGAUAUCACUUGUUAGGAAGAUCUAAACCCAGGCCGAGCCCACGCGAGGCCGAGGGAGGAUGUGUUAUAUUUAAUAAAAAAAGUUUAAGCCUAUUAAUUAGGUCCGGACUGACUAGUCUAUAUAUAUCAACCAACUACUUUUUUAUGAAAUAGCUAAUAUGGUACAAUUCAUAUAUAAAUUCUUAACAGGAAAAACUGAACUACUAGCCAGCUACCACAUUAUAUGCACGCUCGUGCGCACGUGCACACACGCAUAUAUACAUAGAGAGAGAGAGUCUAACUAUACUGUUUUUAAAAACACCGAGCAUUUGGCGUUUAUAAGUUUUUUAUAGUUAGAUUUAUUACUUUGAUCAUUUUUAUCUGUUAGAUCAUAUUAUUCAACCAACCAUUCAUUCAAUUUUAUGGAGGCGCACAUCUCUUAAUAUAAGGUCUAAAAUAAUUUGUUUUUUUUUUUUUUUGAGAAAAAGAUAGCAAGCUACUUGCUUCAUUCAUUAAGUAAAAUGAACUGAGCGUACAUGAUGGAAGCAGCUAAGGCCUCUGAAGAAAGGCGAGGAAAGAGAUCGAAAAAGGUGCAAAAAGAUUACAAAAGCAAGAGUGGUGUCGGGAAGAUGGAAGUGUAAGUUGGAGAGCUAGCAAAUUGUUAUCGCAGCACGUUCCAGUCGCUCAUCAGAAGGUUGACCCGUUCAAGUGCCCGGCUGGCAUUGGCCGGUAUUGCCCGGAAUAUAGAGUUGUUUCUGUCCGUCCAAUAAUUUGGUAUUUUUAAAAGUAUAGAAAUCAAUUCUAUAUAUGUAUGUACACAGAGAGAGAGAGAGAGAGAGAGAGGGGCCAAAGUGGCCAAAGUGUAAUUAAUGUUAAUGAAUGACUACAGUACUAGCUCUCCAGCGCAAUUUAUUGAAGGGCUCCUUAAUAAAACCUCAUUGAGACAGUUUAUACGUAAAUCUUAUAAUUUGAAGGGCUCCUUAAUGAGAUCUCAUUAAGACAGUUUAUUCGUAAAUCAUAUAAUAAUUUACUCUGCGUCCAAAUCCUAAUAAGGUCUUAUUCCAAUUGAAAACCUAUUAGCUUUUUUUCCCCUCUUUUUUUUUCUUUUGUGUGUGUCCGGCGGGGGAUUGAGUUUUUUCUUUUUUUUUAGAAAAAGGUAACACACUAUCUGUUUUAUUCAUUGAAUUUAUGAAUUAGGCUAUAUGGAUGAGGCAACGGUAGUCUCGGGUGGGAGUGGAAAAAAAAAAAAAACACUCCCUACAUCAGAGCCUCCGAUUAGCCCGAAGUAAAAAUUCCUAAAGGUUCAGAAGUUACUUAAUCCUCCUAAAUACAAGAAGGGGAUCCGGUCGAGCCUUUCUAAAGAUCACGUCGUUUCUAGUCCCCCAAAUAAUUCACUAACAUUGCGACCAAUCCGGUUAACUUCGGGCUCGUCGCUUGCAGUCCGGUCCCAGCGGACCAAUAAUGGGUGUUAAUGGGGCGGAUCAGAUAAGCAGUGCCGUGGACCAGAAUCCGCUAAGCCCAUUAAAUCAACUUGGGAUUCUAAUUGUGCAUAUAUUAAUACAUAUAUAUCUGGGCCCAAUGCAGUACAAACUGGGUCGUGACUCGAAAUCAGAUUAGGUGGAAACAACAUUAAAUGCAUUGUCCCCCCUGAUAAUUAUGCCACGUCACUGUUAUGCCAUAAAUUCUAUUCUUUUACACCCUCCUCUUUGUGAAAAAUUCUAGAAUGCAACGGGUAUAUUAGUGACGUGGCGUAACAAAUCAAUCAAAUUAAUUUUUUUAAAAAUAUAUGUUCCAUCAUGAUUAUAAAAAAAUAUUUUUAUUGUACUUUUGUUUGAAAAGAAGGAAUGUGAUUGGCUUGUUAUUGAUGACGUGGUGGUGCAAGUGUGACAGUGUAGAAUUCCUCCCUCUUUGGCAACAGGCCAACAACUAACUUAAACAAAAGGACUUUUUCUUUUUUUCUUUUUUUCUUUUUUUUACAUUUAGCCCUUUAAUAUUUUUUUUUUUUACAAAUAAUCUUAAUAAAUUUAUAAUUGUAUAAAAAUAUAAAGUAUACUAACUAAAUCUUUAAUCAUAAAAAAUGACGCAUUCCAAGUUUCAAGUCAACAUGCCCUCAACGAACUCAAAUCAACAAACUGAAAAAUUAAAUAGUAAAAUCAAAUUUUUAAAAAAUGGAGUAGCUAAUUCAAAAAGAUUUGUGGCUCAGAUAGUUCCAAUACCUUCUUAUCUAACUUUCACCUGUUCUGAUAAUAUUUAAAACAAAUACAAAUCUCGUCUUAGGACCGUACCCGACUAAAAUAAACAUGAAUCCACUCUGAUGGGAUUUUUGUUCUAUUACGACUAGGCUAUCAUAUUGAUCUCUGAGUCUCAUUUCAUAACCAUGUCUCACUAGAAACAAGAAUUUUAAAUAACUUUAUACUAAUGACAAAUUUAAGAUUACAUGGGAAAGAAAAGCACAUUAGUUGCUCUGUGGAGGGAUCUGAAUUCCAGAAAGAAAUAUACAACUACGACGGCGCCGAGGUAGACCAUGUAGAGCCGGCCAAAUAUCCGAAUUGGAACUGCGGACGAGACCAGAAUUACCACUUCUUGAGUUCCAUACCUUCAGGUGGNAUAUAUGUAAAUAUAAAUUUGUUAGAAUUAUUUGUAAAAAAUUUUUUGUGAGGGCGCUAAAUGUAAAAUAAUCCCAAACAAAAAUAUAGAAAUUUGUUUUUUUUUUUUUUUGAGAGAGAUAGAUAGUACGCUACAUUUUUCGUUUAUUUCAUUAAAAAUAAAUUUAGCUAGAAAUGUAAAUCAAUUAGGAUUUGAACUUGGGAUCUCGGAUACCAACAAUCAAACCUUUUGCCACUUACUUUAGAGAGUAGGAAAUAAUAUUAUUGUUGUCAUUUAGUACAAAGAGUGUGCGGUUCCUCCAAAAAGUAUGACAAUUUAUUAAUUUUUUUAAAAAAAUUAUGAAAACACAUUAUACUUUGAAUAAAAAAAAAUCUAGAAAAAAAUUACUUUUUUGAAAUUUACAAAAAAAAAAAAAGUGUUUUAGGAAUAUUUUUUUUUUCUAGCGACCAAAUGGGCAGAAACUUUUUUUUUUUUCAGCUAAAAAAUUAUUCCGUGACACUUUUUGAAAAAGAAAGUAGUUUUCCUAUGCACGAGUCUACAAAAAAAAAAAAGAAGCGAUUCUUUUAAUCGAUUCAUGCACACAAUAUUACAUUUGAAAAAUCUUGUUUUUGUUUAUUUCGUUAUAAUUAAAUGACGAUUCCAUUAGCGAUAUCAAAAUUGAUAAAUAUUUUUUAAUACAAGUGAUAUUAAAUUUGAAAAAUGGCUCUUUUUUUUAAUAUAUAUUUUUACUAUUAGAUGAGAGUUUAAAUCAUGUUCUUGUAUACAUACUCUCCGAUGCUCCCCCACGGCCCCACAUUAUAUUGCUAAAGUAAUUAAUGGAAACAGUGCAUGCACAUGACAUGGCCAGCAAAAUUUCAGUGUAUGUCCAUGACUGGAUAAAUGUUACCUUUACUAUUCCUAUAUUGCAAUUUGGUUCAAGUUAUUUCAAUUAGAAUAUUUUAGUUUCUAAACUCUCGUAUGUGUUGAGCUGAAAUACUAUCAGUAGCAAACGAAUUUCGUUGCCACCCAUUUAUUUUCGAUAAUGAAGCUUCCAAAUCGACGAUCGGCACCGUUGAACAUGAUCUAUACUACCUGAAGCAUCAAGAAACUAAAUUUCAUGUUUUUUUUUUUUAUAUAGUUUUCUUAUCCAUCGAGUAGAUGCAAAAAUGAACGGUUGAAAAUAAAUAUUCUUUAAAAAGUGAUGAUAGGAGUUUAUAAUCAAGAUCAAGAGUAUAGAUCUUAUUGUAAAUAGUUUUAAAAAAUUUCUAAUUAAAAUUUAAUUGAUUUGGAUAUCUUUACGCCGUUAAACGAGAAAACGUCUCAUAUUGGCCGUUAAAAUUAUAGAUUUUGAAACCCUUUGAUCAUUAGUCUAAUGAUGUUGAAAAGAUUUGAAAUUUGAUUUCUAGAUACUUAAAGUGGUAUAGAUCAUGUUCGAUGAUACCGAUCGUCGAUUUGGAGGCUCCGUCAUCGAAAACAAAUCGAUGGCAUCAGAGCCUUUUGGUCCUGAUAGCAUUUUAGCUCAACUCCUCUUAUUUAUUCUGUGCGCUAGUCCCUCACUACCUAAAAAAAUAAAAGUUAAAUAAUAAAACAUUCAAAUAGUCCCUAUAAUUUUAAUUUAAACACUCAUUAGUUUAUGAUCCAGCACUAGUUUCUGAUCUUAAAUUAGGUUUUUUUUUUUUACACUAAUAAAGGAUAAAUUACUACAUGCAAAAAAAAAAGAAAGGAAAACUUCAAAUACCCCUUCUGUGGUUUGGCACUUUUUCACUUUAGUACCCUGUGGUUUCAAGUGUAUCAAGUUAGUACUAUGUGGUUUCGCAUUUUCUCACUUUAGUACCCUAUGGUUUCAAGUAUAUCAAGUUAGUACCCUGUGGUUUCAAUUUUCUCUUUUUAUUAUCCAUUUCGGGUUAUAUAAUUUAACGAAAUAUUAAACCACAGGAUACUAAAGUAAGAAAAUACGAAACCACAUAGUACUAAUUUGAUACACUUGAAACCAUAGGGUACUAAAAUGAGAAGGUGCGAAAUCAUAUGAUACUAACUUGAUAAACUUUAAAUCACAGGAUAUUAAAAUGAGAAAGUACGAAACCGCGAGGGGAGGUAUUUGAAGUUUUUUCUAAAAAAAAUAGAGAUCAAGUUGCAAUAUUAAAAUAGUGCAGGAACUACCAAGUACCAACACACCAAUGAAUGAACACAUGCAUCACCCUGGAGGGUAGGGCAUGUUGUAUGGUUUUUAUGGCUAGCUAGCCACCAAAUUGGCCACUGGCAAAGUCUGAUCUGAUUCAUGCUGAUCUCCCCCACCCCAACCUCCUUAAAUUCUACAAUGAAAUCUACCAACCCUAAAGCCCAUGUGUAUUUAAUAUUUUAUUAUUAUUAUUAUUAUUAUUAUUAUUAUUAUUAUUGCAGGAAUCUUAAUUAGCAUUCACUACAUGCCAUGCACAAUAACAAUCCCUUUGAAAUGAAAGGAACUUAUUAUUAUUAUUAUUAUUGUUAUUAUUAUUAUUUUUGCUUCUCAAUAAAUGAUGAAGGAAUUAUUGUCUUGGAAGAAUUGGCUAACUCGUUUAAUAUGGAAAUUGAUAUUGUCAGAGCAGAGAUAUUAUUUUUAAUCACAAUUUAAACAUGUUUGCUCUAGAAAUUAUUGAAAUUGUUUUGAUGAUAUCAAUUUUUUAUUUAAUUUAUAUCUCAACUUGUACUUAUUACUAAAAUAAGUAAUUCUUACUUAUAUCCGAACCAAACGCAGCUAUAACGAAUUACAAGUAUAUUCCUACAAACUUCAACUUUUAACUCUUAUUCAUGUAAAAGUUGAGUGAUAUUCAUAUUUGUUUAUCUGGUUUGUUAUCGUUAGAAAACUGUUUAUUUUUUAACAGCAGAUUAGUGAAAUAUUAAUUUAAUUUGUCAUUAUAAAUAUGUCCAUCCAAAAGCUCCAACUGCUAUAAUCGUGCAGAAAUGUCUCCCCAAAAAUUUUUCAAUGGUCAUCUUCUUCCUCAUCUUCUUUUUCUUUAAAAUCCAAUCCAAUUCACCAUUGUUGCAACCCUUUCUCUCUCUCAUUUUCUCCUAAAUUUUUUUUUGAGCAAAAUAAUAAAAGGUUAUAGAAAAUAUUGAAUGGAAAAGCAACAUAGUUCGUCGUAGGCGAAGCAACACGCGUCAUAGAUGAAUAGGGACAGAGAAUUCUAAUUAUGGAUUCGAAAUUAGUAUGAAGGAGAGAGAGGAAGAGAAAGAGGAAGAAGUUCUUAUUGUUAGGGUCUCGAUUAAGAGAAGAAGGUAUAAUAUAAGAGGGGUAAACAUAUUAAUUUAUCUCAUUAACUAAUCAGGAUUAAGUAAUUUACCUAUGAUUACCCAAUUUUUCUAAUGGAUCCCAACGGCAGUGGCAUAUUCGAAAACUCAGAACUUUUGUAAAAAUAACAUAAAAAAGUUAAACUUUAUAAAAAUAUAUUUACAACUCAUUAUAUUUGCAAUAAGCUGUAUGCAAUUAACCUUUCCUCAAUAGCUGUUAGUUAGACAAAUUAAAUUUAAGUGACCGUUAAAUAUUUCUAAACAUUCAAAGGAAAGGAAAAAAUCUGAAAUCUUAAGAGCCACAUAAUAGUCACGUCCUCAUGGUAAUUCUAUUAAUAGAUCAAAAAUAAGUUGGAGUUGUCGAUUAAAAGUAGAGUCGUGCUAUGUUUUUCGAUUCGAUUGAGCAAGCCGAAUAGACUCGCUGAAUCGGAGAUCGCAUUGAUUAGGGAGGGGGUGUCGGGAUGUACGUCGUUUGGUCCUAAACCGAAAGCCAAGCCAAACCAAACCAAACCAAAUAAGACUAUUUGGAUCGAUUUAUAUAGUUUACGGCUUGAUUUAAUUUUGAAAUUUACUAAAAUUUGAUCUUUUAUUUCGGUUUUGGUUCGGUCUGAACAUGUUUUUUAACCAAACCGAAUAGUAAUAUUUUUUUCACGCAUUGUGCCUAAGCUGUUUAUUAAAAUUUUAUAUUUAUAAAUUAUAAUGAUUCAAGUUUUGAUCUUAAAUUAUAAAUUAAUUUAUAAAAAAUACAAAAUCUAGAAAUUAAUUACAAAACCGAACCAAACCGGAUCGGUUUUGAGUAUAAAUCGGUUUACUUUGGUUCUAACAAAACAUACGGUUCAAUCUAGAAUCUGCCUCAAAACUAAACCAACCAGAGAGUCGAUUAACCGACCGUCCCUAGAGCAAGUGGCAAAGGGCUUGAUGGUUGGUAUUCGAGAUCCAAGUUCGAAUCCUAGUUGAUUCACAUUUCUUGCUAAGUUUAUUUCUAAAUAAAAUAAACGAAGCAUGUAGCGUGCUACCUAUCUCUCAAAAAAAAAAAAAAAAAAAACUAAGAAAGUCGAUUACAACCUCUAAGAGAGGCAAACCUUGUUGUAUAAGCCCCUUUAAGUCUAGGAUGCAAACGGAAUUCUGGUUGUGGAGUUCCCAUCCGAUCCGCUCCGAAUGGAUAUGCAAAUGAGAACAAAUUAUAAAAAAAAUAUUAUCCGCAAUGGAAUUCAUCCUGAUCCGCGAAGUAAAUGGAGCCGAAGGCAGGACGAACUUUUUUUUUUUUUUUUGGAUCCGUUCCUCGAUCUGCUAAAUAUUCGUCAAAAAUUCGCUCUAGUCCUAAUCUAUCCCAAAUAAAGCAGUAAGUAAAAACAAAGAAUUAAAAUUAAUCUACUCUGAUCCUAUAAAAAAACAGAGUGUUAGCCCAAAAAUCCCUCCCGCCUCCGGAUCUGCCCGUCUGCAUCUUACUUCCAUCCACGUUGUAUGGUAUUAUUGUUAAGUUACAUAGUAUUAUUUUAAGCUCAUUAAAGUUUGAAUAGUGAAAUGCAAUCAUGCUAUAAUAUAGACAUAAAUAAAUUAUUAUAUAAUAUUUCUUGGGACCAGAAUCAAUACUCUCUCCACCUACUCCACUCUAGGAUAUUACGAAUUUUGGCUUUUCUUAAAUGAGUAUUAAUUUUCAUGCAAUUGAUAAGACAUUAGAUUUUUUUGUUUUACUAGGUGCUCUAAUUGAGAUAGUGAUCCAAAUUUUUAUUGUGAAAAAAGCAUGUUCUUUUUUAACGAAUUCAAUCUAAAUUGUUUAAAUUCUCUUCAAUUCCGAUGAAAGAUUUUUAAGUAUAUCCUUUUUAUCAAGCAAAUAGCAUGUGAUGCACCCAAGAUGGCACGAAACAUGCUUCAUUUCUAGAUUCUAACAUCCUCUCUUUUGAUGAAUUUGUGGUUCUAUGGCUGUGAUUAAUAGUACAGUAUGAAAUCCAAACAUUUUACCAUCACACUGUUGAUUUAAAAGGGUCAGUAUCUUGUCCUGUCGCAGAAGAUUAGGUUGGACUGAGCCACGUUCAAAAUGACAGAAGGUCUGAUUGGGUCGAAGCUAAAGCUGUCCAAAAUAUGCAAUAUACCAUACCUAAUCCAAACCCUACCUGGACCUUAUCUGGACCAGAAUCGGAUCCAAUAAAAAAUAAAUAGUAUACGGGUAAAAAAAAUUACCCAUUAAAAUUUCGGUUAUGAGAUCGGAUAUUUUAUACCAUACCCGAUUUGGACCCGACCCGAACCCAACUUUUAAAUGGGUAAGGUCUGGAAUAGUUUUCAAAUUUGGACUCGGACUCGAACGAUGAAAUAUCCGAUAGUAAAUAAAAUUUUUUUAAAAAAACUUUUGAAGUUGAGAGAUCAAUUUUAAUAGGAUUUAUAUAUGAGGGGUCUCUAAGUAUUUUCAUCCUACUUAAACACUGAAACCCUAACCUUUCUUUUAUUUUUUUCUUUUUUCUAAUUUUUUUACUCUUUGUUUUUUACUUUUAAAUUUUUUUGUUUCAUUUCUACCUAAGAAUUUUUUAUGAAAUAAUAUUUCCAUCGUCAUCAUCAUCAGCGAUAUUAAUCCUCUACAGAUGUGGCACGAGUGAGUUUUUUCCAAAUCCUUUUUCCAUCAUAGUCGACAAUCUAAUUUUUUUAAAUAAAUAUUCUAUUUAGUAAAUUUUCUGACUCUUCUUUAUUUUUUUCUCUUUUUUUUGAAUGUGAGCAUAUAAUAUUAGUAAUUACUACAACUUAUGUUCUCUUUAUCUAUAAUAUGAUAUCAUAAUUUUUUUAUUUUUGUGUGUUUACAUAUAAAAUUAUUUUAAAUUUUAGACUUUUAAUCAGACAAUAUAAAGGCCAAAACAAGCUCUACCCAGACAAUUUAAUAAAGCCUAUAAAAAAGUUUAUGUAUGCGGAUACCCAUACCCAAUUUGGAUCCGACUCGUAUCCGGUCUUGAACGGAUAACAUACGGAUAGUCACUAUCCAGACCUGCUCAAAUAGAUCCGAUUGAUAUAUUAACAACUUAAGUACCCAGAUCCGGACCCAACCUAAAGUUAAAUGGGUAGGGUAUAUUUUUUUUUCUAACCAUUAUUUUUAGGGUACGGGUACAGUAUAUUGAUUAUCCAAAUCCGAUCCAGUCUACAGACACCUUUAGUCCAAUCAUCUUCGAAGUAGCGUAAGACUGGUUACACUGAGUUACAAUUAAAAUCCAUGAGCGCUGUGUCGUUAUACUUUAAGCGAAUUGGUCGUCAGCCAUUCGAGUUUUUAGAAUUAAUAGACAGGUCCAACGAUCCGGCAUAUACUCCCUCACAUAUUAUAACUAGUUGGUGCAUACCAUCCUCUUUUAAUUCAAGUAUUAGCAAAAAUUUUGAGAAAAAGAGGGUGAUCUCUUCUAUGAUCAGCUUAUGUACAUAAAAAUGGGGGAAUGGAUGAGAAUGCAUUUAAUCCUUCUUCAUUCACCCAACCAACUUAUCACCCUGCAGCAAACUAUUACAGGCUGUUCCUUUUUUGUUUUUUUUGUUUUUUUGUUUUUUUUUUGGAUAGAAGGAGGGCAAUAUUUUGUUUUUUUCUCCAUAGAAGAAAUAGGAGGACAACAAAUUAAAUUAAUUACAUUCCAUUUUUGAAAUGAGCCUCUCAUUCAUUUUUAUCCACUCCUCCUCAAUUUUUAAUUUUCGGGAGUUAAGAGAUUUUAUUCAGUUAUUAGAUUUUUUUAUCAUCUUUUUCUUUGUACUUGGAUUAAAAUUAAUAAAUUUAAUUAGCCAUAUAUUGAUAUUAAUAAAAAAGAAUAACUUAAUUUUUUAAAAAAAUCAGAAAGAAGGAAAGAGGGUGUAAAAAAAUAAAUAAAUAAAAGAUGAAAAGACUAAUUCAAAAUAGCCUAUUCUUAUACUCUCACCCAACUUGUUGUUCAAAUAAGCAAAUAAGGCAAACAACCCUCAUACUAUUCUUCACUAAAUUUGUGGUCACAUUUAUUAUCAUUAUUAUUGGAGUCACUAUCAUCUACAAGUUUUUCCUCCUAUUGCACACUUUUUAAAGUGUAUCUUGAAUUUAAUAGUAAGUUGACCAUAACAUAGGUAGUUGUUUACUAGUAUAUUGGUUUUAUAGAUCGAACAUCCUUGAAACAGAAAUGAAAGGUAACUCAAAGACUAAUGUUCCUUAAUUUCAAAGUAAUAUUUCUAAUUAUUUUCACUAUAGGUGUAAACGGGAGUCAUAAGUUACAGUUGGAGCUGUACUACAGUUUGAAAAUGCGGCCUCGGUGUGACUUCAAACUACUCGCUUAUUUAAAGCAAGAAUUUAGGUGCCAUGAUAGAGUCAAAAAUUUAUCAGCACGACACGACACGAUGAGUGCCGAACCGUCCGAUACAUUAUCCAGAAGAUCAAUUCUGAUAAUAAAUAACACAAAAUAUAUUUGACGUUUUUCGCUCACAUGCAUAAUGAAUAUGAACAGUUGGUAAGGCGAGUGAUUACAUCACAUGCUCAUGCUUUUCCUCUAUCCUAGUGGGCAUCAUUUUGGAGCCUGAACUGAACCCUGCACAAAUUUGUUCCUUGUUUUGGGAAUUGGGACCCCCCCAAAUGAAAGCAUCUAAACUGAUUUUGGCGCCACAUUUCAUAUGUUUAGACUACAGCCCCUUGUAUCUCUCUCUCUUUCUCUCUCUCUCUCCAUUAAAUGUGAGAAGAGGUGCUCUUUCAACUGCUUAACCACUUCAUUACUGCAGGAGCAAGUCCUUCUCUAGAUCUCUCUUCUCUCUCUCUCUCUCCCAUUUGCACUACAAAAUCCAUGGAAAGCUCAUCCUUUUGAUGUGUACUUGCUCCUUCCUCUUUAACACCCUCUCUCUCUCUCUCUCUCUCUCUCUCUCUCUCUCUCUCUCAGCUUUGGAGAAAAUAGAUUAAAAAAAAAAAAUGAGUUGUUGGGUAUCUUAGAACAAAUUUUCCUCUCCUUGCUUUGCUUGGUUCGAUUGCUUUUCCUUUGAUUAUACCUAAAUUUGAAGAAUUUUCAUUUGGGUUUUACUCUAAUUCUUUCAAUUGGGAAAUUUUUUGAACAAAUGCACUUUGUGAAGAGAAGAAGUACCAAAUUUCGAAUGCGAAAUUUGUUUACUCUAUUGUCCCGAUCUUUUUUUCUUUUUUUUUUCCCUAGGGUUUUGUUUUGUUUUUUUAAGAAAAAGGUAACACGCUAUCUGUUUCAUUCGUUCAGAUAAUAAAUUUAGCUAAAUUCAUUUUCUAGGGUUUUGUUGGAUAGAGAAUGAGGAAGGUUUACACAGUUCAAGUGGAGAGCGGAAGGGCCGGGAAGGACGGGCGGCCGUCGGUCGGCCCGGUCUACCGGAGCGCUCUGGCGAAGGACGGUUUUCCUCCGCCGGAUCCCCGAAUGAGCACCUCAUGGGAUAUCUUCAGGUAUUGAUGGCAAACUUAUUAGAAAAAAGGAGAAAUGAAUUUAUUGUUAUAAGAACAAAACCAUGAUUUUUAAUCUUUAAUGUGUUUAGUCAUCUCCUUUUAGUUAGCUGUAAUGUUCUUCUUAAACUAUCUUGCUUAAGAAACUCAAUGCCCUUCGCAAAACUCGAUAAUAUGUGUUGAUAUGUGAAAUUCUUAUACUGCAGUGUGGCAGCAGAGAAGUAUCCGAACAAUAGAAUGCUCGGAUGGCGCGAGUUCGUGAAAGGAAAGGUAUGCAACUUAUGCGUCUUCUGGUAUUUCAUAAAGUAUCAAUUUUUUUUAAAAAAAUUUAUAGAUCAUUUAGAUCCUCGAGUAAUUCUUUGUUUUUGUUUUUUUUGUUUUGCCAAUGUAUAUGAUCAAAUAGCCAGGAUGCUAUAUAUGGAAAACAUACAAGGAAGUCUAUGAGGAAGUGGUUCAAGUUGGUUCCGCUCUGCGGCAGAUGGGCGCUGCACCUGUCAGAAAACCGACUUUCAUUUGAUAUUUUUCUGCUCCUUUCUUAAUUGUUGUGAUCUCACCUGUUCAUUCUGUCAGCUGCAUUCGGAAUUUCGCUGAAAUUAGCAGCUUAUCCCCCCUUUUCAGCUGACGAAAUUGCGUAUUCAGUUAACAUCGCCAUUAGCUUUUACCGAAUCUCCUAUUCAUUUGACAGAAUAACUAAUUACUAGGGCUGUCAAUCAGAAAAAGAUUUUAAGUUGUGAGUUUAUUUCGAAAUAUGGAAUAUAGUUGACGAAGGCCUAUAGAUAUUUCGUUUUCAGGUGGUAGUAUCUAAUGUUCAUAUGCCCCUGUUAUACUGAUGUUACAUUAAUCGGUUACAGGGUUCACGCAUAGGGAUCUACGGAGCAAAUUGCCCUCAAUGGAUAGAAGCAAUGGAGGUAACUCUAGAUCUGUAUCUAGUUUAGCAUUUCGAUGGUUUUAGACCGCAUUUAUCUUAUUUAUUGAUCAAGACCAUGUAGAAACGCUUUUAAAUUAGUAAACUCUCUCAUCUGCAGGCUUGCAAUGGAUACAGCUUAAUAUGCGUUCCGCUCUACGAUACUUUGGGUAAAUGAAUUUAUUCCAAUUCCUUCUUUUGUUGUUUUAAGUUCUUGCAUUGAAGAUACUUUAUCUUCUUUCCACAUGCAUUUCCAAAAGGGUUUGAGCAUACAUGUGAUGAUUUUUGUUACUAUACACUGUCGACCACAAAGCAAAUUUUCUGGUAACAGGGUCAGGGGCUGUUGAUUACAUUUUAGACCAAGCGGAAAUCGACAUUGCUUUUGUUCAGGAUAAGAAAAUGAAAGAAGUGAGAACCAAGUUAUUUUUCUGAGUCUCUCGUUCGCAAAAUGGUUGUUUUCAACACGAAACUGAAUACUCAAUUUUGCAGUUACUGUUCUCCGACUGUGCAUCUCUUCGGAGGCUGAAAGGUAAGAAGCGAUCGAUAUUCGUAUCUUGAUCAAGCUUUUGAAGGAAAAAUAAUCAUAGUGCUUAUUUAUUGAACAUGAUUGCAGUAAUCGUUUCAUUCACUUCGACUACAAUGGAACAAGAGGAAGCUGCAUCUAAAAUCGGAUUGCAAAUUUACUCAUGGAACGAUUUUCUUCGAAUGGUCAGUUUCUAGUUACUUAAUUCUCAAAUUGUGGAGUAUCUUACGCGAACUCUUCUAUUCCAGUGUCCCUUCGCACUGAUUCUACGAUGCUCCCUUAGUCGAAGCUAUUGUUUUGUACCGUUAAUACAGGGAAAGGAGAAUUUGUGCGAGCCUCUUCCUCCUCGACCUCUUGAUAUAUGCACAAUAAUGUACACAAGUGGAACCAGCGGAAACCCCAAGGGUGUGAUUUUGACCCAUGAGAGCAACGCAAUGUAUGUGAGAGGAGUAGAUCUCUAUAUGGACCUGUUUGACGACAAGGUAAAUCUAUUUUUUUGAUCAUUCGCAGUUACUAGAUAAUAUAUUUUCGGCAAUUCUUUGUGUUCUAUCCAUAUUGUGUCAUAAUUAGUCCCCGAAUUUUCGAGGAUCAGUGAUCAAAUUGUGGUAUACGAUAAAGUUCAGAGACAAACUUGCAAUAUCGGGAUAGUACAGUCGACAACUUCGACCAUUAUUUCUCUCUUCCUUUUAUGUAUUCAUAAGCAUGUAUAUGUGUUUUGUAUGUACGCAUGUAUGUAUGCAUGUACGUAUUUGUCGAUAAGAGGUUGAGAAGUUAUGACACAUUGUUGUUAUCAGAUGACAGUGGAUGAUGUCUACCUCUCCUUUCUCCCCCUCGCUCACAUUCUCGAUCGCAUGCUCGAAGAGUACUUUUUCCAUAAAGGGGCCUCUGUUGGGUACUAUCACGGAGUAUGUACAUCGUCUUUGCGUUACUUUCAUAAAUACAAAGUUUUUCAACUAAUUCUCCAUAUCUUAAAUAAUUUGCUAUAUUCUAUUACAUUUCCGCCAAAAAUCUACACUGAACCCUAUUUUUUUGUUGUAUUAAGGAUAUUAAUGCUUUGAGGGAUGAUCUCAUGGAAUUAAAGCCAACUCUAUUUGCCGGAGUCCCUCGAGUUUUCGAAAGAGUCCAUGAAGGUUUAUAUUGCUUCUUUAUAUAUCGAACAUUAUCAACCAUAUUAUUGCAACUCAGAAUUAUUUGUAUAUUUUGAUUUCUAGGUAUAUUAAAGGCUCUAUCGGAACUCUGGCCGCAUAGAAGGAUGAUAUUUAAUGCUCUGUACAAACAGUAAGUUGUUCUUUCUCUUCAUUUCUUACUAAAAUACAUCAAGUGCAUCGAUUUUAUUUUUAUCUGACAAUUGAAAUUUCAGUAAAUUAUCAUGGAUGAGAUCAGGAUAUUCACAUAAAACAGCAUCCCCUCUCGCCGACUUCUUGGCCUUUAGUAAGGUCUUAUCUUCUCUAUACCAAACAUGAAAGUUUUUAUUUUUUAUUUUUUUGCAAUAUUAUCUGUUAAAAAUAUUUUUCAUAAUUAUCUAAAUUGUCGGAAUUUUUCCUUUUUUUUUUCAAUUUAGAUCAAGGCUAGGCUUGGGGGCCGAGUUCGCCUAAUUAUAUCUGGGGGCGCUCCGCUGAAUACUGAGAUUGAGGAGUUCUUGAGAGUCACAAGCUGUGCUUAUGUUACUCAAGGAUAUGGUAAUUUACACAAAGCUGGUUUCUGAAGUUUUUCGACUAGCAUUCGUGUAAUCCUUUAUUACUACUAAGAAAUAUAUAUGCCCUUGUACUUAUUUCUAACUAGGUAAAUAGUUAUGGCCUUCUAAGUACGCGGUUUUGUGAUGCUUUGAUUAAUUAAUUCCUUAUAUGAUUCAAAUUUAUGUUCCAUCGGUCGUUUUAACAAAUAAUUUCUUCAUCAUUCACCAUCUUUAAGUCCUUUUUUAUCUUGAUUCUUUUGAAUUGGUAAUGAAAACAUUUGAUGGUGAAAUUCUUUCACUCGUAACUCACAUUAAUAUAAUAAGAAUGAACUCCUUGAGAAUCUAUCAAAUAUGACAGAUUUAGGAUUAAAUUUUGAUUGCUGAAGUUUAUUUCAGCAAAACAAUCAGUCAAAUUUUCAAAUCAAAACCUUCUUCCUUGGGGCUUCAAAUUUUUUUUUAAUCGUUGGGAAGAAACAUUCCUGCUCUAAACAUUGUGCUUGUAGUUGAAAUGCCGAGGACUAAAAGAGUGUACAUUGUAAAAAAUCAAUGCCUUUUCAUCGUUCAGGGUUGACGGAGACAUGCGGUUUGAGUUCGAAUGGAGUUCCUGACGAAAUGUCCUUAAUCGGAACUGUCGGAGUGGCCUCUACGUAUACCGAACUGCGGCUAGAAGAAGUGCCCGAGAUGGGUUAUGAUCCGCUCAGUGUCCCUUCCCGCGGUGAAAUAUGCGUCAGAGGGAAAACUCUCUUUUCCGGGUACUACAAGAAUCCCGAACUGACGAAAGAAGUGAUGAUAGAUGGAUGGUUUCACACAGGUACAUGAAAAUCUCACAAUUUUGAUGUAUUGCUCUUCAAAAUGUCACAUUUAGCCGCGAGAAACUACACCUUCGAAGGGAACAGAUUAAAAUUCAGAUUUUGCAAGGGUGUAACCUCAUUAAUCCUUCGUGUUCAGGGGAUAUUGGAGAGAUCUCCCCAGAGGGAGUACUAAAAAUCAUAGAUAGGAAGAAGAACAUAUUCAAGCUAUCUCAUGGGGAAUAUGUUGCAGCAGAGUACCUGGAGAAAGUAUACGGUUACUUGCCGAUUAUCGAAGAUGUAAGCAUUUUACACUACUUUUGCUGUGGUCGAAAGAGCUUAGCGAUUCCUCGAGCAAUUAUAAUUAGACACAAUCAUUUUUUUUCUUUCUUUCUUUAGAUCUGGGUUUACGGGGACAGCUAUCGAUCCAUGUUAGUUGCGGUGGUUGCACCGCAUGAAGAUAAUACUAUGAAAUGGGCAGAGUCGAACGGCCACAAGGGAUCAUUUUACGACAUUUGUGCACUAGAGGAGCUUAAGAUUUACAUUCUUCAGGAGUUGAAGGCACUUGCAGAGAAAAAUAAGGUAAGAUUCUCUCUUUUUUUCCCUGAUGUAAAAGGAUAAAAUACUUGAUCAAGAAGAACAGAACUAUUUAGUUGGAUAUGAGCUUUGGUUUAUUAUAUCUGUCGUAUCUUUUACAGUAUGUUUUAUAAGAACAAAGUUACCGAUAAAUUGUUCAGUGCACUUGCGCUAACUUAUCGUCACUUGUUUACGAACCAGCUAAGAGGUUUCGAGUGCAUUAAAGGCGUUGUCGUGGAUCCGGUGCCUUUCAACGUUGAAAGGGAUUUGAUGACUCCGACUAUGAAGAAGAAAAGAUCCCAGAUGUUCAAACACUAUCAGGUAAACAGAAAGAACUGAAACUAUUGUUGUUUUUUGUGCUCUCUCUUAUUACAUCCAUUUCAUUUAGUCGUAAUUAAAUCUCUCUCCUUUUUUCUUUUUUUUGGUGCUGUGACAGUCGGAGAUCGAGAAACUCUACAAGAAUCUUGCAGAAAGGCGAGGAGAUAAUAAUAAAGUUAGAAAUGUAUGAUAAUUGGAUUGCAUUGUAUGUAAUGUGUUAAAUGGACAAAAUGCAUUAUUGUAUAUGAUACCUACUUAAAACUAUGGCCCUAAGAUCCUUUUAAGGCAAUAAAAUUAGAACUACUUAUUGCUAUUCUCGAAGCUUUUAUCACGAAUCUGUUUCUUUCUGAAAUGUUUGUUUGGUUUGGACAUAAAAUUGUGCCGAUGAUUUAUCGAUAGUAAGGCGACAAUUAAUGAGCCUGGCACUGAAGUAUGCAGUUGUGGAAGUUCAUGGGUGUUUACUUUUUGGAUGAGUUAACAAUGAAAAGAUGAUUAGUUCCGCGUUGUUCUUGCGUUAACAGGAGUACAUUUAUAUUUCAGCUUCACAAUUAUGAUGUUUCUGUGCGCAUUUCUAAUAACAUCAAACGCUAUUUUGGUUGCAGAAUUUUGAAUCUACAGAUGUUUCAGCUUCAGUUUGUGAAGAACUAGAAAAGUUCUCUAGAUGUUGCAUUGUUUAAGAAACACUAGUUUCAAUGCAGUUACUAUUGUUUAAUUAUUUUUCAAAAUAAUCACAUAAUAGUAUAUCAGAUUGUUAGGUCGAAUUACAAAUGAACGAUAAUUUUUUAGAUAAAAAAUGGAUGACAAUAAAAAGAAAUUAUAAUUUUAGUAUGCAUUUUUUGUGCUGCCGGCGCAUUCUUAUCCAUUUAGGCCGCAUUUGGUUCGGCUAAAGACGAAUCGACAAAUUUUUUCCGGUAUAAAAAAUAUUUUUCCAUGACGAAUCUACAAAUUAUUUCUGGUAUAAAAAAUAUUUUUUCCGUGUAUUUAGUUUUACAUAAAAAUAUUUUUUUUACGGAUUUUGAAAAAAAUUAUAAUUUUCGUCUUCCGUUGUUUUUCAGCGAAAAAUGAAUACUCCAGCCACAUAAAAUUUUUUUAUUUAUUUUUUUCCAAAUCAAAGCAAAUGUGAAUUUUUUUCUUAUAACCAAACAAAUGUUGAUAAAAAAAGAAAAUUUUCUACAAAUGAAAUACUACAAAAAAAAAAAUUUAUCAAAAUUUUUUUUCACGAAAAAUUAUUUUUCAAUUGAACAAAAACCCGUAGGAAAAGAAAAAAAAAAAACGUUGAACUUAGUUAGCUGCACGAUCCAUAUAGACCACUCCGUCCAACAGCUUACACGUGUCUGUAGAUUAUUGGACCUCCAGUCAUCCGAUUCAUGAAUGACGUGGUACACAAAGACCACGCAAUAAUGUAUUCUAAUCGCCCGAUUUUAACCCCACACCCCACUCCGUUCCCACUCCAUCCAACGGCUGUAGCGGUUCCCUCCUUGGAAAAUGGCGGCGCUAUGGGCUCACCUCUCCAAACGCCUCAUCGGCGGCGGCGGCGCCUCCUCCUCCUCCGCCGCCGCGCCGCCGNNNNNNNNNNNNNNNNNNNNNGCCCCCCCCCCACCCCCCCACCCCUCCUCUGAUCGCCUCGUUCUAGGGUUUUGCUAGGGUUUCAUCUCCUUCCCUGCUCUUUUCGCAGCGAAGGUGGGGAUCCCGGAGUUCCUCAGGGGGGUGGGGAAGGGCGUGGAGGCGCACGUGGCGAAGCUCGAGGCGGAGAUCGGCGACAUCCAGAAUCUUCUCGUCGCCCGAACCCUUCGCCUCAAGAAGCUCGGCAUCCCCUGCAAACACGUAAUCGCUCUACACUCCCCCUCGUUUUAUUCGAAUUAAUUUACUAAUUAUCAUGAAAAAAUUGUUUCUUGUGUUUAUUUUCUUGGUUUCUCCCUCAAAUUAUCUUAAAGUUGCUUGCUUGCUUGCGGUAGCUUCAUUAGUUCCUUUUUCUAGAUGGAAGGAGUACAAAUGGAUUGAAUGCCGUUAUUGGGAGCAUUUUAUAUGCUUGAUUUGAUUUUAUGAUUUAGUUACUUAGUGAUUUAGAAGAUGGGGACAGUGGAAAUUAAUCUUGAAUAAAGAUCAACCUAUGUAAAGUCGCUUUGAAAAGAGAAUAGAGGGGGUUCCUUUUUUUUUCCAAUGAGCACUGUGAGGAGGUUCUUGAUGCAUUUCAUGUUUUAAUACUAUUGUAUAUAAGGAAUUGGUGUUGUAAUUUUGUUGCAGUGAUGAAGAAUGUAGUAUCUUCCUUAGUCAUUUUCUUUGCAAGGUUGUAAUUUGAAUCGUUUCAUGCAUUAAAAUUAAUAAGUAACACGCUUUUUGGUCAUUGGAAUGCCAAAUUAGACAAAUAGCUUUUUAGCCUUCUAGAACGGCUUCUACUAUUGACCAUUUUUUAUGGGCCAUGAGAGGUUAACUUUGGUCAUUGCUAAGUUAAAGCAUUGGUUUUGGUUUAUGUUGGGAUCCUGAAGUUUGGCUUCAACAUUUGCAAGACCUGUAUUUUUUUCUACUUUUUGGUUCCUUCACAAACAUGCAUAAAAUUCUGAAUUCAAAAAUAUGUGAAGAUUUGAAUUAAUCUAGAGAAUCAUAGUUUUUAUAUAUUUAGAUGUAUUGAAGUGUUGUUUUAUGCCACUUUCAUGUGUAACUCAGUUGAUUUCCAAGUUGUUGCCUAUUUAGUCAGAGAAAAGAAAUUAGAAAGUAAAGUAGGAAUCAUGGAGUUGUUACUGGACACUUUAGUAACCUUCUCUACAUAUACACUUGCCUGGAUAUAUGUAGGAAUCUCGGAUCCCCUUUUCUUUGGAGCAUAUCUAUAAGACUUAUGAUGCCUUAUCCCUAUGCGAAAAGCCUAAUCACUUUUCACUGCAACUUCAACCAUUAAUGGUUGGAGAGUCCUGUCAUCUAACAAUACUGAUUACUUUUGAGUUAAUUUGCUUGCAAUGUCAUCAUGAUUUACAAAUUGUGAUGGAUUAAUAGUGAGUUGAGUUGACCUGUACUGGUCAACCUGAAAUGAGAUCUCUUGUCAAUAUAGGUUUAUAAAGUCUUGGCAAACAAAAUGUGUUGAAAUACAGUGCUAGCCUCUUGUGUGAAAGACGCUUUCGAUGGUAGUUAUUGCCUUGUUGAUUGGUCGUAGGGUAUGUUUGGUAGCUUAAGCAAGGCUUCGCUUUUAAACUUGCAACUUUUUGAGUUCAACAGGAACUGUCAAUUUAAUUCGAUUACUUGGUCAAAUCAGGAUGUCCAAUUUGGAUCCUGCAUUGCCUUAGGGUCGCCUAAUCCAACCCUAAUUUUGAGUUGGGUAAUGUUUGACAUCAAAUCAACCUGAAACCAUCUUAUCCAAGCCAAUCAGGUCUGUUCAUAGAACAUAGAUUAUCUUUCUAGGAGAUGUAUAGCAGCAUAGAGAUACUUCUUACACCCCGUGAAGAACAAAAAGGUGUGAUUCAUUAUCUCCAUCUAUCUUUUGUGUUGGGAAUUGUGAUUUCCAUACACUAAGCAUAUGCUAAAACCCUACCUCACUAGAACUUACCGUAGACUGGAAAUUUCCCUGUCAAAUGUUUUUUUCGUUCUUAGUAACUCUUUCCUGGUGACUUUUUAACCCAAAUACCAUCUCGACGGUGUGCAAGUAUUUUCUCUAACCUUAUGGCAACCUUUCUUUGGUGACUUGAAAAGUUCAUUUAUCUGGAAGAUUGGAAAGGUACUUAAGGCAUGGUUCAAAAACUCCUUUUUAAUUUGGUCUGUCAAAAUGAAACAUUUCGGCAUUUAUGGUUAGGUAAUUUCUGUUAUUUGCUCUCGAACAAGUCUAUUGGAAACAACUUGACCUCACAGCAUUAAUCUCGUAAUAUUUUGAUAUAUUAGACUUAUGUUUUAUGUUACUUCUAUGAACUAUAAUGUUGGUUUUCAUAUUGGCACCUAAAUUAUGUUGUUCUCUAUAUGUUUUGCUUUGGGUUGUGUGCAUGCACAAGGGAAAGGUUUAUCCUUACUGAGAAGCCUUAUGAAUAUUAUUUACGGCUAUUUGAUAAUACUUGACCAGCCCAAAUUAAGUUGAUGAUUGAACAAGCAUGCAUGUUUUAUUUACCCAAAGAUGUUAAUGCCACUCUGUAUCUGACUUCAUAAUAUUGCUUGAUAUACUUACUGUGAGGUUUCCGUGAUGUUUUUUGAGUCACGCAGAGGAAGUUGAUCCUGAAGUACACCCAGAAGUAUAGGCUUGGACUUUGGAGGCCCCGGGCUGAACCACAAAAGUUGCAGUGAUGUUAACUUUGGUGGUUGAAGAAAACCAACUUUGAGAGAGCACUCUCCAAAAUGAACUUGCAAAUAGCCGUCUCCUUUCUGAACUCUUGAUCUGAAAAUGAAUAAGGCAUCAGGUGGUUUCAGAGUCGUUCAAACUGUCCACGAGAACAUUAUUUGGAUGUGUCGCUCGACAAUGAUCAUAGGUUCCAACUUGAAAAAUAUGAAACCCAUCUAGGUGACUCUUACAUGGUAAUUGCGGUUUAAUACCUUUAUAAUCUUGUAUCCUUUCCUGACCGUACUAUUUGUUUUUGAAAAGUUUAUAUUAUUGGUACGUAAUUACAGCUUCGUAUGAAAGGAACUUCUGCUUCUUUAAAUCAUGGUAUUUAGUACUUUUCGCUAUCACACGGUCAUCCUCCUAUGACUUAGAGCGAGCAUCAGUUAGGUUGGUUUGGUUUUAGAGGGUUGUUUUAAGAAUAGCGAUGAACCCUACCAAACGAAAGUGGAAUAAUUCAGUUCAAUUCAGUUCGGUUGGUUUAUUUUGUCUGGUCAAGAAAUUCCACUUGUCGAAUGACAGAUAUUAGUAAACAAUUUUUAGUAUGAUUACAUCCGUUUAAGUGUUUAAGCAGCCAAUUUGUUUCAAACUGCUAUUAAUGCAGUUUAUUGAGUUUCUAGGUGUAUCUUAAGCUGAAAAGAAAAAAUGGACCGACUCAUUCGAGUUCUGGAGUUCGUUUUGGACUAGACAGUUCUCACCCCCCUGCCGAUGACUCUAGAUUCCUACUUGAAGAUGGAAAAUUGUACAUGAUAUUUUGCAGUCUAGUGCCUUUUGGGUGUUGUAUUUUCUAGUCAGACAAGCUCAGUGGUCCUACUGCAUAUUCCUACAGGUAAACUGCUUUCUAGUGGAUAGAAGCUGAUUCUGCUUUUUCAUGUGUGGCGUGUAAAUGUAUACAAGCAAUCUUGACACUUAGAAAAGUUGUGAACUCUUUAGAGUAGUUUGGAUUAGGCCAACUAAAGGUACAGUAGUUGUUCUUUUGUUAUGCAGGUGGAUUAGAUUGUGUAGAUGAACCGAAGUGAUUUCUCAUGUUAUUCAUUUACCUGUAUGCAACCAGAGGCUAUAUAAUUACCAAAGUUGGUGGUGCUAAAACAAGAUUGGGUAGGAGAAUUUUCUUGUAUUAUUAUGAGCAAGUUGUAUAAUUUGGGCCUCUUCAAAUAUUUUGUUAUCUAUAAUUUAAUAAGAUAACAUAUUUUACCUAUAAGGUGAUUUCUUUUAUUCUGAAUAAAUGACUUGAAGUUUGAAUAUUAUAUUUUAUUUUAAAUAUUUGAUCACAUUUUGUAUCAAUCAGAUGAUAAAUUUCAGAAUAAAUUGUAGGAAUAUACUGAAAAAGAUAUUCAUGUAUCUAAACGUAUGUUAUAUGUAUGUUUGCUACAUGUCAAAUCUAAAUGGCAAGAUUUGACGCUGACGUGGUAAAUAUUGGUUGGUGUUAACACAGUAGUCUGAAAUAAACAAUUAAGGUUGUGGACCUAAUUGGAAAAAAGAAAAGACCAAAAUGAAAAAAUUCGAUAAAAGUUGGGACAAUUGUGCCAUUAAUUGUAUUCUACUGAAAGGGCAAUAGUUAAUUAAAAAAAAUUAUAUUGAUAAAUUCCCUAAGUUGGUAACAUUUUUUGGACAUAUAUCCAGAUACUUAUCCACUUGUAACAUGUUCCAAAGAAAGUGUCAGAUUAAAUUAUUUAUUUAUUUAUUUAUUUAUCCAGAUAAGGCAUCCCCACAUUGGUAGUGGUUUUAGCCAGUUGGUUGGUGAUGGUUGCAGGUGCCAUAUUUAUGUAAGCAUCAAUAGAAAUUAAUUUAGUCCCCUUCACUUCUUUUUCAAGAUCACUCUGGUGGAGCCCAUACUUUGGUAAAAAGAUUUGUUUCUUUUAAUUGUUUUUCUCUUCAUAGUGUUGCAAGAACUAUCAAGUUUUCCUGCUAAAACCGUGCUAACAACUUCAAAUCAAAAUUGAUCUCUACAUUUUAAGACCUGAAAGCUCACUAUCUUUCUAUCACGAUUGAGGAUUCCAAAUUUCUUGUUUGCUACACAGCUUAGGAGAGACAUAUCAAAAUCUAACCAAAACAAAAUGUUCAAAAAAAGUAAAAUGAUCUAUUCAAUGAUCCAAUAUCUCUAUCAACUAACCUAGCAAUUAGAAACAAUUCAAGUGCAUUGCAAAACAAAGUGUAUGAGAGAGGGAGGGGCUGUUCUUACAAAUUAGAAAAAGAAAUACAGAGGAGAUGAAAAUACAGCAUCAAAAUUUCCAGUAAAAAUUGCCAAUAAAAAGGAAGACCAAAAGGACCUCCAAAUUCUCAGCAGAAAACUCAUGCUGUCAUUUACAGGGCACACCUCAGCAAAGGGCAAAAAACCUCAUGACAUUAUAUAUACAUAGCGUAGAUUACGUAAAAUUACAGGCGUCGUCACAACGCAGCCUAUUUAUUUAUCUUUUCUCUUCUUUUUUUCUUUUUUUUUUUUUCUGACCCUUGAUACAAAAUCCUUCUCAACCAGGUACUCGGCUUUCCUCUCCGUGGACACUCAGCCGAGAUAAUGCGGUCACGUCGCUGCAAAAGAACAAUGAAUGGUAAUUGUUAUCAGCUCAAUUUUUUUUUUUUUUUUCCCUUUGUGAUUUUUGGGUGGACACUCUGACCAAAAGAAUGACAGAUAAUAUUACUCCUAGCUAACGAUUGUCGCAAAUUUCAACCAAAAUGCUCUAUAUUUGAAGCAAAAGAGAUGAUAGCUAUGUUGCACAGAUGGAUACGGGAUACGAAGAUACAAUAUGGAUAAAAAGAUGCGACGAAUUCUCAAACAAGGAAACACUCGAUGGCCACAUUCACCUAGUAUCGGUCAUGUAUCAGACGCGUAUCGAUCGCUAAUACACAAAGCAUACGGUCACAGCUUUCAAAAUGAAGUGUCCAUCGAUCCUAGGAUAAUAGGUUUUCAAUGUAGGGGAGCUUUGAGAGAAGAACAACAUUAAGUUACAAGUUACACACAGAAAAAAAGAGGAGUGACAUACUUGGUAGAUGCAGAGGUAGAACCACCGGGGCUGAUCAUAGAGACAUUAUUGUAGAAUUGAACAGAGAUAAGUCCACCAUUUACCGAUGAUUCAGGAGAACCACGAAAGCUUAAACUCGAGCUAUUUCUUGAAAAAACUCCUGCCAACGAAGAAGAAACGGUACAAAUUACACAAGGAAAAUGAUCGCAUACAUGCUAUAUAUGUACUUGAAUGAAGUUUGACGCUUUACACUAAUUGUUCAACAAAGAUGAAGAUAUUUUCAAAUUUCCUUCCAAUGGACAUUCGACAAGUAAUAGUAGCUAAUUUAAUCAGAUUCAUUCCACAACUUAAUCCAUAAACCUGUUGAGCACAUGCAACUACAAACAGCACUCCAGAGUGUAGAAAGGUUUCUAAUAUGGAUAUAAUGUCAAAAGCAUACAUAUUUGUCCUAAGUUUUAACGUCUCUACGCAUUUAAAGAGAGUGCAAAAAUUACCAUCUUUAGAAGCUAAAAGAUAUGUUAUACACGCUUAGGCCUUCAUCCUUGUCCAAUUCUAGUUACUAUAUAUGAAAUAGUAGAAAAUCCAACAAAAGAUCAUGCAAGUAAUAAAAGAUGCAAAUCAUUUUACGUGCAAUGAAAAUAGUGACAGGUUAAAACCCGAAGCAACCAAAUAACAUAUAUAAAAAUGUACAAAUAGUAAGAAAAGAAUGUAUCUGUAAUGUAUGCUGUAACUAGAUAAGCAACAUUAAGGACAGUUAUAUUACAUACUAAAUAAACUCCAAGGAAAGGACUAUGACGAAAUGAGAUGACUAUAGUAUAGCACCAAUAAUGUCGAUCAGAAGAUUACAGAAAGAUAAAAGGUACAUUGAAAUUAAAAAGGAAAAAAUAUCAGAAAAACUAUGAAUUAAAAAGAAAUAUAGGAAAUUGUUAUUAGCAAACCAAGUUAUUCUUAUGCUGCUAUCAUGUAACAGUGAAACUAGCCUAGCAAGGAAAGGAUUUGAAAAAAAGAAAACAAGAGCACUAAUUAGUUUCCUAUUAUGCUUAUGGUGUAGUUAUACAACAAGAAAAGAAAGCACAUAUUUGGUCAUCUUAAAAGACUUAGUUAGGCGAAAGCAAAUAUCUUGUUCAUGCAUCAUCUACUAAGGAUAGUGUUAGCACAAUGCGAGAACGAACUUGUAGACUCAACAAUGAUGAUAUUUCAUAAAUAAGUGAUGAUCUUUUAUACACCGAGUAUCACAAAUGAUAUUGCAAAGGAUAUAGUAGCACUUAUUAUUAGGAACACAAGUAAACCUACUGGAAUUCUCUAAUUGAAUUUGAGUUUCAAGUACUUAAAAACUUCUCAUUGCUAGCAUAAACCUGUUCAAUAUGCAUCAACCAAUAUGAUCAAUUAGCACCAAUUUGUAGAAAUCAUGUAACUCAAUUGACCCACCUUGCCAUAUUAUAACAAGGCAAAAGAGAAUGGUGAUAACUAAAGCACCCAAAUUGGUACUGGGCACUGACGAUGCCGACUUGGCAUUCUUCGUCCGCUUCAGCUCCUUCAUCCUCUCAAUCCUCGCCCUCUUCAUCGUCGCCAGCUCGGACAUCUCGCGGAUGAGCUUCUCGUCAGCGGAAUCCAAUGCCAGCGGCUUCGGAGGCCGGGGAGGCUUCGGGGGCUUCUUGGGCCGCUUCUUCUUCGGCUUCUCAGCUUCGGGCUUCUGCACAAGCCCUUCCUUUUCCACUACAGCUUCUCCAUUAAUAGGAACCUCUUUACUCUUGAGGCAUCCCUCGUCGCCCACAAAACCAUUCCAUACCUUACUCAAAACAGCUUUUGCCUCUCCAGCCCUAGAGAUUGGGUCUCUUGACGCGCCAUGCUCGUCAACUAUUAUUGAUUUUGUCCCACUCUCGAGAUCAAUUGAGGCAUGAUCGAUCGAGACAUCUCGAUCAAUCAAUCUCUUUGUUUCCAUCACAAAACACAAUAUAAAUCUCUUAAAUCAUCACAAAAUGAGCCAAAAAUCUACUCCUUUUUUCUUCGGUAGUCCUAGGUUAGAUUAGAUCCUUCCAAAAAAACCCAGCAUCAGAUUCUCCAUAUCUUUGCCUAAAUCAUUGGAAUAUAUCUCAAAUCCACCAUCUCCCUGAAAAAAAAUUAGGGCGCAAAAUCAAGCUCAUUCCCCAACAAUUCGAACCAUUUCCCCCCACAACCAUCGAAAAAUAGCAAAUUGAAACACAAAUGCAGCUGAGAAAAAAAAAACACCAUCAAAAACGAAUUUUGAAACUGAAUCCUUAACCGAACCAUAUAAAACCCAAAUAUUACCUAAAGAUCAACAGAAAGGGCAAAACCGUAUAAGAGGAAACAGCCAAAAACGCGUAAAGCUCUCAACUUUCACCCUAAAAUCAAGGGGGCGAACGCUUAUCCUACCUCCGGAGUGUACUAGAAAUGAUCGAAUCGAAUAAAUUAGAGGAAAAAAGAGAGAGAGAUGAAUCCAACGAGGUGAGAGAAGAGGAUAGGGUUAGGGUUUUCAAGGGGCGGAUUCGGAGCUCAUAGGGCAACGUGAGAGAGAGAAAGAGAGAGAGAGAGAGAGGAAUUGUUAAUGGAAUUAAAAAUUAGAAAAAAAAAAAGAGGGGAUUUUUUUUUUUGAGAAAAAAAAAGAGGGGAUUUUAAUGGCGUCGGAAGGGAAAGGGCCAAAGGAGAGAGAGAGAGAGGAGAAUAAACUAUUGCGUGGACCGCGGUCUAUAGACCGAGUCCGUUUAACUCAAGCACCAGGUUUAACAAAAUAAAAAAUCUUUACAAAUAAAUAAUAUUAAAACAAAAAUUUUAAAAGUAAUAAUUUUUUUAAAAAAUUCAUAAUAAAUUUCUAAAAUUAAAAUUUCAAAUCAAUGGAUGUGGUUACAUACAAACAGCAAAAGAAUGAUUACAAAAAAAAUUUAAAAAAGUUGUAAGCUGUAAGCCUACUCAUGUAAUGUAGACAUGAAUAUUAUUUCGUUAAAAAAUUUAAGUUUAUCAUCUAGAUUUUGAAAAAAAAAAAAGGUCAAAUUACUAAAUAUUUUUAAAAAUAUAAUACAACUUUUUUUUCAAAUUUCCUAAAAUUUAGGUUAGUUUGGUAUGCUCUGUUUUUAAUAAAUUAAAAAUAUUUUAGACGUGUGUUAAUCACGUCAAAAGAAGGUUACGAAACCCCGGUCUAUGGACCACGGUCCACGCAAAAAAAGCUCCACUCUUAGAACGUGAAAGGGUCAAAUUGUACUCUAGGGUUCGGAUAAGGGGAAAAAGUGAUCUUUGGACACGUGUCCUACAUCUGGGCCGUCCAUUUGGAUGGAUCUUUCGAGAAGUUUGUGAACAAUACCAAGUCCACAGUGGGGGACACCACAACACGUCCAAACGAAGAGACAUAAAAUAAAUAAAAUAAAUAAAUAAAUAAAUAAAUAAAUAAAACAAACCUUGUACGACCAAAACCCACGGUGUACGCGAAGAUUCGGCGAUAGCUCCUCGAAUAUGCCGAGUUCACCUUUUUCUUUUUCUUUUU